UACGGGGGGAGCAAGCGUUGUUCGGAUUUACUGGGCGUAAGGGGCGCGUAGGCGGUCGUGACAAGUCACUUGUGAAAUCUCCGGGCUUAACUCGGAACGGUCAAGUGAUACUGUCGGACUAGAGUACAGAAGGGGCAACUGGAAUUCUCGGUGUAGCGGUGAAAUGCGUAGAUAUCGAGAGGAACACCGAUGGCGAAGGCAGCCCCCUGGGUCAAAACUGACGCUCAUGCACGAAAGCGUGGGGAGCAAACAGG
rnacentral:rRNA from 1 species